UCUGACCGAACCAUCAUCACAAACACAGCCUCUGCUCUUCUUCCUCUGAGUGAACCCAUACCGAACCCACUCUUCUCUCCCUGACUAAACCCAAAAGCCCAGUCUUGAAAGUCAUAUUCUCAUCUCAAAACCGAAGAUUCAUGGGAGGGGAUUAGGCUUCCAUUUGGGUCAGACUGAAGCUCCACGGGUCAGGCUUCCAUUUAGGUUUUGUUUUGGGUUAGGGAUUUUGUGGAUCUUGUAUUGCUGCUCAGUUCUUCCCGAUCUGAUCUUAGAGCUAAAAGCUUUACCCAAAUUUCGCACUCCAAAACCACCGCUGACCAGCGCACGGCGCCAUUUUGAGCUUUGGCGGACAAGUCCUCGGCUCAUCUCUAAUUCUCUCUUGUCAGUAUAACCAAAAACACUAGAGCGAUACCAGCAAUCUUGCUUCACUCCUCAGGAUAACAGCAUUGAACGUGAAGCACAGCUGCUGGAUUUCUGCACUGGAUAGCUGCUGCCUG